AGCAGCCGCGGUAAUUCCAGCUCCAAUAGCGUAUAUUAAAGUUGUUGCAGUUAAAAAGCUCGUAGUUGAAUUUCGGGGUCGGUAGAUUGGUCAUGCCUCUGGUAUGCACUGGUCUUACUGGCUCCUCCUUCCUGAUGAACCGUAAUGCCAUUAAUUUGGUGUUGCGGGGAGACUGGACUGUUACUUUGAAAAAUUAGAGUGUUUAAAGCAGGCUAACGCUUGAAUACAUUAGCAUGGAAUAAUGAAAUAGGACGUUCGAUCUUAUUUUGUUGGUUUCUAAGAUUGACGUAAUGAUUAAUAGGGAUAGUUGGGGGCAUUAGUAUUCAAUUGUCAGAGGUGAAAUUCUUGGAUUUAUUGAAGACUAACUACUGCGAAAGCAUUUGCCAAGGAUGUCUUCAUUAAUCAAGAACGAAAGUUAGGGGAUCGAAGACGAUCAGAUACCGUCGUAGU
rnacentral:rRNA from 1 species